UACGGGGGGAGCAAGCGUUGUUCGGAUUUACUGGGCGUAAAGGGCGCGUAGGCGGCGUGACAAGUCACUUGUGAAAUCUCCGGGCUUAACUCGGAACGGUCAAGUGAUACUGUCGUGCUAGAGUGCGGAAGGGGCAACUGGAAUUCUUGGUGUAGCGGUGAAAUGCGUAGAUAUCAAGAGGAACACCUGCGGCGAAGGCGGGUUGCUGGGCCGACACUGACGCUGAUAGCGCGAAAGCUAGGGGAGCGAACGGG
rnacentral:rRNA from 1 species